UGAGGACUGAGCCGGUCGGGCUGGGGACCUGAAGCAGGACGGCACUGCACCGGGACUGGGCGGGGCUCGCCGUUGACGCGCGCCGGCCAAGCCCGGACCAGCGUCGGGACCUUCCUGUGGAAAGCCUCAGCUGCGCGGCGUCCGAGGGCUUCGUGCCCAAAGUGCUAUGCUUCGGCCGGCAAAAAACAGUCAACUCAGAACUGGCACGGACCGGGGGAAUCCGACUGUCUAAUUAAAACAAAGCAUUGCGAUGGCCGCUGGUCGGUGUUGACGCAAUGUGAUUUCUGCCCAGUGCUCUGAAUGUCAACGUGAAGAGAUUCAUCAAAGCGCGGGUAACGGCGGGGUAAACGGCGGGAGUAAGUAACUAAUAAACAGGCAAUAAAGGGGCGGCAGGCCAGAAGAGAGCAGCGGGAGUCGC
rnacentral:ncRNA from 1 species